UACGUAGGGUGCAAGCGUUGUCCGGAAUUAUUGGGCGUAAAGAGCUCGUAGGCGGUCUGUCGCAUCGGCUGUGAAAUCCCGAGGCUCAACCUCGGGUCUGCAGUCGAUACGGGCAAACUAGAGUAUUGCAGGGGAGACUGGAAUUCCUGGUGUAGCGGUGAAAUGCGCAGAUAUCAGGAGGAACACCGGUGGCGAAGGCGGGUCUCUGGGCAAUAACUGACGCUGAGGAGCGAAAGCGUGGGGAGCGAACAGG
rnacentral:rRNA from 1 species